GAAAUGCGAUAAGUAGUGUGAAUUGCAGAAUUCAGUGAAUCAUCGAAUCUUUGAACGCACAUUGCGCCCCUUGGUAUUCCAUGGGGCAUGCCUGUUCGAGCGUCAUUUGUACCCUCAAGCUCUGCUUGGUGUUGGGUGUUUGUCUACUAUCGUGGACUCGCCUUAAAGUCAUUGGCAGCCAGUGUUUUGGUAUUGGAGCGCAGCACAUUUUGCGCCUCUAGCCUAGAACACUAGCGUCCAGUAAGCCUUUUUUCACUUUUGACCUCGGAUCAGGUAGGGAUACCCGCUGAACUUAA
rnacentral:misc_RNA from 1 species